CAUUGACGGCUGUAGGCUCGCUUGGGGUCCUUCGGGCCCGAAGUCCCCCUUAGGGCUUGAAUUUGGGGGUCCAGGCUUCCGUUGCCUUCGGGCACUGUUUGCUUUCCUUUUUGCUUGGGUUUCUUCUCUGUUGAAGUCGGAGCUAAGUCCGGCUCCCUUGGGAGUCCGAGCGGAGAAGUCCUCCUGAAGUUGGAGUAGCUUGGUUCUCGUAGGGGCCAGGGCAAAGCUUUCGUUUUCCUGCAACCAAAGUCCUAGGC
rnacentral:lncRNA from 1 species